GUGAGAAGCUGGAUGGAAAAAUUAAAAGACAAGGCUGGUUACAUGUCUGGGAUGCUGGUGCCUGUAGGGGUUGGGAUAGCUGGAGCCUUGUUCAUCUUGGGAGCCCUCUACAGCAUUAAGGUUAUGAAUCGCCGAAGGAGAAAUGGUUUCAAAAGGCAUAAAAGAAAGCAGAGAGAAUUCAACAGCAUGCAAGAUCGAGUAAUGCUCUUAGCCGACAGCUCUGAAGAUGAAUUUUGAAUUGGACUGGGUUUUAAUUGGGAUAUUCAACGAUGCUACUAUUCUAAUUUUUAUUUUGGAGCAGAAAAAAAAAAGAACAACAACCUGCC
rnacentral:lncRNA from 1 species